rnacentral:misc_RNA from 1 species
GAUGAAGAACGUAGUGAAAUGCGAUAAGUAGUGUGAAUUGCAGAAUUCAGUGAAUCAUCGAAUCUUUGAACGCACAUUGCGCCCCUUGGUAUCCCGAGGGGCAUGCCUGUUCGAGCGUCAUUUCACCACUCAAGCCUGGCUUGGUGUUGGGCGACGUCCUCUUUGGGGACGCGCCUCGAAACGCUCGGCGGCGUGGCACCGGCUUUAAGCGUAGCAGAAUCUUUCGCUUUGGAAGUCGGGGCCCCGUCUGCCGGAAGACCUGCUCGCAAGGUUGACCUCGGAUCAGGCAGGGAUACCCGCUCAACUUAAGCAUAUCAAUAAGCGGAGGA